GUGUUGGAUGAAAGGAAGGAAGGUUAGUAUGCCCUUUGAUAAGGAUGGAAGAGGCCCUCGGAUGCACAGGGCACACAUGUGGUUAAGGCAUUACCACCUACUUUGUGGCAUCUAACUGUGGUUUGUC
ensembl:snRNA